rnacentral:rRNA from 1 species
AAUACGAGGGGUGCUAGCGUUGUCCGGAAUAACUGGGCGUAAAGGGUCCGUAGGCGUUUUACCAAGUUGAUUGUUAAAUCCACCGGCUUAACCGGUGACCUGCAAUCAAAACUGGUAGAAUAGAAUAUGUGAGAGGAAUGUGGAAUUCCUGGUGUAGCGGUGACAUGCGUAGAUAUCAGGAGGAACACCGAUGGCGAAGGCAGCAUUCUGGCACAAUAUUGACGCUGAGGGACGAAAGCGUGGGGAGCGMACAGGAUUAGGUACCCUGGUAGUCCACGCCGUAAACGAUGAGUACUUGAUGGUGGAGGAUUCGACCCUUUCACUAUCGGAGCUAACGCGUUAAGUACUCCGCCUGGGGACUACGGCCGCAAGGCUGAAACUCAAAGGAAUGGACGGGGACCCGCACAAGCGGUGGAACAUGUGGUUUAAUUCGAUGCAACGCGAAGAACCUUACCUGGACUUGACAUGUUAGUGAAAUCUCUGUGAAAGCAGAGCCUUCUGCGAGCUUGCUCAAAGACACUAUCACAGGUGAUGCAUGGCUGUCGUCAGCUCGUGUCGUGAGAUGUUGGGUUAAGUCCCGCAACGAGCGCAACCCCUGUUCUUAGUUGCCAGCACAUAAUGGUGGGGACUCUAAGAAGACUGCCUGGGAUAACCAGGAGGAAGGUGGGGAUGAUGUCAAGUCAGUAUGUCCCUUAUGUCCAGGGCUACACACGUGUUACAAUGGCUAGUACAAUGGGUCGCAAUCCCGCGAGGGCAAGCUAAUCCCAAAAAACUAGCCCCAGUUCAGAUUGGAGUCUGCAACUCGACUCCAUGAAGCAGGAAUCGCUAGUAAUCGCGCAUCAGCACGGCGCGGUGAAUACGUUCCCGGGUCUUGUACACACCGCCCGUCAAGCCAUGGAAGUCGGCAGUACCCGAAGCCGGUGGCCCAACCUUUUGGAGGGAGCCGUCUAAGGUAAGGCUGGU